rnacentral:rRNA from 1 species
AUUGAACGCUGGCGGCGUGCCUAACACAUGCAAGUCGAACGAAGCAUUGGAGCUUGCUCCAAUGACUGAGUGGCGCACGGGUGAGUAACGCGUGGAUGAUCUACCCAAAAGUUUGGGAUAACAGUUGGAAACGACUGCUAAUACCGGAUACGGCACCAUUUCAUAGUUGGUGUUAAAGGCGGCCUCUGCAUAUGCUGUCGCUGUUGGAUGAGUCCGCGUUUCAUUAGGUAGUUGGUGGGGUAAUGGCUCACCAAGCCGACGAUGAAUAGCCGACCUGAGAGGGUAAUCGGCCACACUGGGACUGGAACACGGCCCAGACUCCUACGGGAGGCAGCAGUGGGGAAUAUUGCGCAAUGGGCAAAAGCCUGACGCAGCGACGCCGCGUGAGGGAUGAAGGUCUUCGGAUCGUAAACCUCUGUCAGGAGGGAAGAAGUGGGUUCGUGCUAAUCAGCGGGCCUUUGACGGUACCUCCAAAGGAAGCACCGGCUAACUACGUGCCAGCAGCCGCCGUAUAC